GGGAAAGGCUGCUUGGGAAUACAUCAAGGAACUGUCCGACGAGGACAAGUUUGAGCUGUCAGUCAUCAACCCGACACUGGUGAUGGGGCCACCGUUGCUGGAGACCCACCGUACCUCCACCUCAGUCUCGCUCAUGACCGGGAUGUCAACAAGACUUACCCUGGCGUGCCUCGUGUGCAGUUCCCGGUGUGCGACGUGCGUGAUGUGGCCAGGGCUCAUGUCAAGGCGCUAACUCUCCCAGAAGCCGCGAACAACAGACACAUCAUUGCCACGGACAGCUGCUGGUACCGGGACAUUGCCAUCAGCGUAGCCAAGGAGUUCAGGCCGCAGGGUUACUCUAUCGCCACCGCCCAGCUGCCUUAUGCCCUCUGCUGGCUGGCGGGACUCUUUAACAGGCCUAUGAGGAACAACAUCUUGCCACGCAUUGGGAAGACUAUCAAUGUGGACAACAAGAGGAUGGUGGAGGUGCUGGGAGUGGAAACACGAUUGA